UACGGAGGGUGCGAGCGUGUCCGGAAUCACUGGGCGUAAAGGGCGCGUAGGCGGUCUGCUAAGCGUGCGGUGAAAGCCUGGGGCUCAACCCCAGGUCUGCCGUGCGAACUGGUGGACUAGAGCACUGUAGAGGCAGGUGGAAUUCCGGGUGUAGCGGUGGAAUGCGUAGAGAUCCGGAAGAACACCGGUGGCGAAGGCGGCCUGCUGGGC
rnacentral:rRNA from 1 species